UACGAAGGGGGCUAGCGUUGCUCGGAAUUACUGGGCGUAAAGCGCACGUAGGCGGCUUGUUAAGUCGGAGGUGAAAUCCUGGAGCUCAACUCCAGAACUGCCUUCGAUACUGGCGAGCUUGAGUUCGGGAGAGGUGAGUGGAACUGCGAGUGUAGAGGUGAAAUUCGUAGAUAUUGCAAGAACACCAGUGGCGAAGGCGGCUCACUGGCCCGAUACUGACGCUGAGGUGCGAAAGCGUGGGGAGCA
rnacentral:rRNA from 1 species